rnacentral:lncRNA from 1 species
UUUGGUCUAUAUGGUCUUUCGGUUUUGUAAUUUUUUACAUAGUAUUUUCUUCUCGGUUUUUUAUAUUUAUAUUUUGAUCUGUAUUUUUUAUUAUAUUUCUUUCUGUAGUAUCUGUCUGUACAUCCAAAUUGGGGUGCUGUUUUAUUUUUGCAGCAUGCUAAGUUUUUUACUAAUAUUUUUUCCAUUUUUAUUUUUUCUCUAUGUUUUUCACACAGUUCUAUAAACCGUCGUUGUAAGAAUUUUAUUCUAGCUCCUAAGGUAUCUGUUAAUCCUGCUU